UUAGAAAACUGCAUUUUCAGCAUAGUUAGUCAUUGUUUCCCCGGAUAGAGGUUCCACUUCCUAUAGCUCCGCAGAGUGGUAAAUAUGACUAGAACUGUGAUCAGAUAUAUACCUGAAGCUGUCAGUAAGAGCUCGAGGUGGAGUUGGCUUGCCAACUUCAGUGUCUAACGUAUGGCUUGGUACGUCGGAAGUACAGAGUGCCAUGGAGGAAAAGCCACAGCCCAAUGCCGGUGAUGACUGAACACAGGCCGAAGCCCCAUACCCAGCCUGCAUUGUCCUGUAUGUAGACAAUGGCAGUGUGGCCAAUGAUGGAAGCAAGCUUCACAGGUGGGCAGCGAGCAAGGGGCCGGCCUUAGUGAAGGGAGUGCUGAUGUUAAGGUGGCCAGAAUGGUGCCCUGCAAUCAGGCAGCGCUGGCGAUGGUGAUGACAGAGUAACAGCCAAGCCAAGAGUCAGAGAUGAUGCCUCCCAGAAUAGGAGCAAGGCUGAUACAUCCAUUAAUGAUGUUGAAGAUCUGAGUAGCUUGAAUACUCCCC